rnacentral:misc_RNA from 1 species
GAUGAAGAACGUAGCGAAAUGCGAUAAGUAAUGUGAAUUGCAGAAUUCAGUGAAUCAUCGAAUCUUUGAACGCACAUUGCGCCCGUUAGCAUUCUAGCGGGCAUGCCUGUCCGAGCGUCAUUUCAACCCUCAGGGUCCCCGUUCCGGCGGGGAACCUGGUGUUGGGGAUCGGCCCGCCCCGUGCGGCGCCGUCCCCCAAAUUCAGUGGCGGUCUCGCUGCAGCCUCCCCUGCGUAGUAGUUACAACCUCGCAUCGGAGCUCAGCGCGGCCACGCCGUAAAACCCCCGACUUUCUGAACGUUGACCUCGGAUCAGGUAGGAAUACCCGCUGAACUUAAGCAUAUCAAAGGGAGGA